UGGAGAAGGAAGAGGAGGAGGAGCCGAGCCUGCCUGGGCAUCUCUGGGCUUCUGCUUGAAAGCUCAUCUAGGUCCAAGUCAAGAUGAAGGAGGAGACUCAGAAGCCCUCCCACCUGCCUGGUAUGCAGAUGCCACCAGCACCACAGGAAAAGAUGAGGAAACUGAAGUCCAGAGUCCCAGUCUGCUCUGCCGGUCAUGAACCAAUGGGAUCUUGGCAAACGAGGAGCAGUCAACACUGGACCGGCAGCUGCUCUUGGACUGGCUGCAAAGGAGCCUGAUUCAUCUCCACACUUACCCAGGUGUAGUAGCACCUAGUAGGUGCUCAUCACAUUAGCUGAAGCAGAGGGAGAACACCUACUGGGUGCUCGCUGUACAGUGUUGAGAGCUUUCCUUGAGCAUCAUAUUUAAUCUUCCAAACAACCUUAGGAAUGAGUAUCAACAUUGAGACAGCUGAGCUCCCAGAAGAAGGUCACCGUGCCUGUCUCAAGGACUCAUCAAUGGGCUCAAACAGGCUCAGAGAGACCAGGGUCCCAGUGCCAAGUCUGGCUGCGCAGACUAAAACUCAAGCUUUUUAGGCACUAUGCUGGCUCCCAAUAACUGUUGUAAGAAAGGUGUCGGCGGGGGGCGGAGACUUCGCCUUUCAGACACACUUCCUGGGCGACGUCAAUGCUGCUGGUCCCGCAGCAGGCAGCCAGAGGUCACAAGCCGAACCCGGGUGUCCCGGUCAUCCCGGAAAAACUAAGAGACACCGGUGGUGUCACUAGGAACUAGGACCCUGGUCAAUAGGGCCAUUGACUGCGCCCUGAGUUUAGUCCAAAGAAGUUACUGCAUUUCCCAGUUUAUGA